UACGGGAUAAUAUAUUUGAGAGGCAUCUCUUGAAUAUCAAAGGUGAGCCAGUACAGGAUGGACCCGCGUCUGAUUAGCUAGUUGGUAAGGUAACGGCUUACCAAGGCGACGAUCAGUAGCCGACCUGAGAGGGUGAUCGGCCACAUUGGAACUGAGACACGGUCCAAACUCCUACGGGCGGCAGCAGUGGGGAAUAUUGCACAAUGGGCGAAAGCCUGAUGCAGCAACGCCGCGUGAGUGAUGAAGGCCUUCGGGUCGUAAAACUCUGUCCUCAAGGAAGAUAAUGACGGUACUUGAGGAGGAAGCCCCGGCUAACUACGUGCCAGCAGCCGCGGUAAUACGU
rnacentral:rRNA from 1 species